CCUACGGGAGGCAGCAGUGAGGAAUAUUGGUCAAUGGACGAGAGUCUGAACCAGCCAAGUAGCGUGAAGGAUGACUGCCCUAUGGGUUGUAAACUUCUUUUAUAUGGGAAUAAAAUGUUCCACGUGUGGGAUUUUGUAUGUACCAUAUGAAUAAGGAUCGGCUAACUCCGUGCCAGCAGCCGCGGUAAUACGGAGGAUCCGAGCGUUAUCCGGAUUUAUUGGGUGUAAAGGGAGCGUAGGUGGAUUGUUAAGUCAGUUGCGAAAGUUUGCGGCUCAACCGUAAAAUUGCAGUUGAAACUGGCAGUCUUGAGUACAGUAGAGGUGGGCGGAAUUCGUGGUGUAGCGGUGAAAUGCUUAGAUAUCACGAAGAACUCCGAUUGCGAAGGCAGCUCACUGGACUGCAACUGACACUGAGGCUCGAAAGUGUGGGUAUCAAACAGGAUUAGAUACCCUAGUAGUC
rnacentral:rRNA from 1 species